rnacentral:tRNA from 1 species
GCGGGAUUAGCUCAGUGGUAGAGCAUUAGCUUCCCAAGCUGAGGGUCGCGGGUUCGAGCCCCGUAUCCCGCUCCA